ensembl:lncRNA
CCUCUCGUACAAAUACAGGCUCAGAGGGUUGGGCUUGUUCAGCCUGGAGAAGAGAAGGCUCUGGAAAGACCUCAGGGCAGCUUCCAGUGCAUAAAGUGGCCUACAAGAAACCCGGAGAGGGACUUUUUACAAUUGUGUGUAGUGAUAGGACAAGGGGAAAUGGCUUUAAACUGAAAGAGGGUAGACUUAUAUUAGAUAUGAGGAAUAAGUUAUUUACUGUGACGGUGGUGAGCCACUGGAACAGGCUGACCAAAAAAGUUGUGGCUGCCCCAUCCCUGGCAGUGUUCAAGGCCAGGUUGGAUGGGGCUUUGAGAAACUCGGUCUAGUGGAAGGUGUCCCUGCCCAUGGCAUAGGGAUUGGAACUAGAUGAUCUUUAAAGGUCCCUUCCAACCCAAACCAUUCUAUGAUUCUAUAAUCUUCCUGCAAAUCCUGACCUUGCUUCCCAGGACCAUACAAUUUCUUUUUCCUCCUGAGUUCCAAGAGGAAUGCCCUGUUCAGCCAACCUGGUCUUCUGUGCUGCUUGCUGGACUUUCAACACAAAGCAACUGCCUGCUCUCCAGCUUUUAAAAGGGGGUUCUUAAAAACUGACCAUUACUCAUGGAUCCCUAAGCCCUCAGAAGCAGAUCUGCAGGGGACACUGCUAACUAGCUCACUAGUAGCUUAAAGUUAGCUCUCUUGAAAUCCAGGGUAGCAACUGUGCUGACCAUUUUUCUCAUUAUAUCAAAAUUUUUAAACUGAACUAUUUUGUGAUCUCUGCAGCCGAUACAGCCACCUACACUCACAUCUCCCACAAGUCCUUCUCUAUUCACAAAUAACAAGUCCAGAAGGGCAUCUUUCCUAGUUGACUCACUGAGUACUUACAGGAAAUUACCUUCACCAGACAAGAAAUUAUCUUUAACAUACUUCAGGAAUUUCCCAGACUUGCCUGUCACAUCAGUAUGGUAUUCCCAGUUGAUACCUGGGAAGUUGAAGUGUUCGAUAACGACAAGAAGAGAAGACAAUUAGAGAGAAGACAAGCCUGGAAAAAUUCUGAGGAGUCCUGGUGGACAAGAAGCAGAAUAUGAGUGAGCUGUGUAUCUUUGAAGCAAUAAUCACAUACUGGACCGCCUUAGUAGAAGUAUGGCUACCAAAUCAAGGCAUGAUAUUAUUUCUUUCUACUCAAGUAAUCCACAUCUGAAGCACCGUGUCCUUCACUGCAAAUACUGUGAGCACACUGUGUGUUCUAAGGAAUCUGCCUUAGAGGAAAAGAGACAGAACAGUGCACGUAGUUCAUCUAAGAAUGCUGAAGAUAUUCAAAUCUGUAUCAAGCUACUUCAGUCUGAAGAUAAAUUUUGAUAAAUAUCCUGGAGUAACAAGUACAUGAUUCAUUUAGCUUGUCUGCCACUCAGGAGAAAUCAAGUUUGGUUGAGAACCUGACUGACCUGUAAAUGGAUUCUAACCUAGAAACAGGAAAGACAGGGCAACUACAAGAACUUGAGUCUCCUGGCACUUCCAGAAAGUUGCCAUGGCAGGAAGUAUGGCUUACCAAGGCAAGACCUGCCACAGUUACUCUUCAGUACUGCCAUAGGUACAUUCAACCUUUAAAGACAAGAAGACCUCCUAGGAGCUCAGAACCUUCAUAAGGGCUUAACCAGAUGAACAGUGCUACUGACACCAAUAGGAAAAUCUGAUAAGUUAUCUUUCC